rnacentral:rRNA from 1 species
GAUGAACGCUAGCGGCAGGCUUAAUACAUGCAAGUCGAACGGUAAGUAUUUUAGCAAUAAGAUACGAGAGUGACGUACGGGUGCGUAACACGUAUGCAACCUACCUUGUACAGGAGGAUAGCUCGGGGAAACUCGAUUAACCUCCAUAAGAUCGUGGUGAGGCAUCUCACAGCGAUAAAAUCUUAGGAGGUACAAGAUGGGCAUGCGUCUGAUUAGAGUUUGGUGCGGGUAACGGCCCACCAAGACGAUGAUCAGUAGGGGACCUGAGAGGGU